AGCGAACGCUGGCGGCAGGCCUAACACAUGCAAGUCGAGCGCCGUAGCAAUACGGAGCGGCAGACGGGAGAGUAACACGUGGGAACGUACCCUUUGGUUCGGAACAACCCAGGGAAACUUGGGCUAAUACCGGAUAAGCCCUCACGGGGAAAGAUUCAUCGCCGAAGGAUCGGCCCGCGUCUGAUUAGCUAGUUGGUGGGGUAAUGGCCCACCAAGGCGACGAUCAGUAGCUGGUCUGAGAGGAUGAUCAGCCUCACUGGGACUGAGACACGGCCCAGACUCCUACGGGAGGCAGCAGUGGGGAAUAUUGGACAAUGGGCGCAAGCCUGAUCCAGCCACGCCGCGUGGGUGAUGAAGGCCCUAGGGUUGUAAAGCCCUUUCGGCGGGGAAGAUAAUGACGGUACCCGCAGAAGAAGCCCCGGCUAACUUCGUGCCAGCAGCCGCGGUAAGAC
rnacentral:rRNA from 1 species